rnacentral:lncRNA from 1 species
GAAUGAUCAGACAGCUACAGUGAACAGAGAAGCUCGAGAAGUGGUAACUACAAUCUGGCGUUGUAGCUUUGUUUGUUGUGAGACUGUGAGCGUUGUAGGGAGUUGUUUGUCACGCGUAUAAACCUAGCCUGGUUAUUUGAGCGUGUGUGAGAUUUCAAAACAGAAUGAAAUCCGCUAAGAACACUAAAGUGAAACCUGCAGUAUCAUCUAAAGAAGAAGAGUGCGGAAUAUGGCUCGACACAAAAGAGUUAAAAGAAAAGAAACAACAGAAACAACUGACCCGUCCAAUAUCCAAAUGAUUGAACCCACUUGCGAGAUCAGGGGAAUACAGUGUGGCAGUGGCACUGAGCUUCACUCAGACCAAACUCAACAUGCCUGUCACUAGACAAAGCACAAUAUCACAUUUCUUUUCACCCAAAUCCAGAGACCCUAACCCUAGUGUGGCUCAUUCUGGGAUGUCCAGCUUCAUGCACGCAGAGGCACGCACCGGGGCCAUGUUGCCCAUUAUACAGAAAAUGUGUUAGAAACACAAGAAUAUUGGAAUAAAGAAGCAUCAAAUGCAUAUCCAAAUCAGACAAUUCUUGAAACUGAGGCUUUCUUUCAUGAGGAGCACUGUGAUCUGAUGGUCUGGAAGCCCUCUGAAGAUGCACAUAAGAAUUUCCGUAAGUCUCUGGGUCCUAAACACACGGACAAACAUGAUUUAAGAGACUAGAAGGCCUCAUUUAAGGGGUCUAUCUUAACCUCUAGGCCUGUCAAUGAAAACCACAAAAGAUCGAAUGCUUCUGUGAUUACUAAUAAAAAUCAGGAGCAUUCUUGGU